UGGAUACUUGAUGUUUCUUUCAGUGUUACCUUGUUUUGUGGUGACAGCUGAACAAAAGUAUCCAAUAUUAACACAGGAGCUAUCUGUUCAUCCCUGGAGAGUUAACAGGGUUGGAUCGUUCCACUUCUAACAUGU